AAACCAUGAUGAGGACACUGUCUUUGUAAAUCUUUAAACCGCUCCCAAGCUUUAUAUAAAGACUUGUUGUCCCUUUGCUAAAAAGUAGUGAUUUCAUUUCUUACUUU